AUUGAACGCUAGCGGGAUGCCUUACACAUGCAAGUCGAACGGAGUGGCGAACGAGUGGGUGAUGUAUCGGAACGUGCCCAGUAGCGGGGGAUGACUACACGAAAGGGUAGCUAAUCCCGCAUACUAUUGGAGCGGCCGAUAGAGUAUUGGCUGGUUGGUGGGGUAACGGCUCACAAAGGCGACGAUCCGUAGCUGGUUUGAGAGGACGACCAGCCAAACUGGGACUGAGACACGGCCCAGACUCCUACGGGAGGCAGCAGUGGGGAAUUUUGGACAAUGGGGGAAACCCUGAUGCAGCCAUCCCGCGGGUGUGAUGAAGGCCUUCGGGUUGUAAAGCACUUUCGGCAGGAAAGCGGUACCUGCAGAAUAAGCACCGGCUAACUACGUGCCAGCAGCCGCGGUAAUAC
rnacentral:rRNA from 1 species